UUACUCUCGCGACAUUGACUGCUCAGCACGCAUCGCCAAUAAAAACACGUCGGGGCCUCCUGCCGACAUGUUUAUUCUGCCAGCGCUCCCUGCACCCCUUGCCAAGGUCGCGGCGUGUGAGUCGCCCGGGGUAGUGUGACCCUCGCGUUACUCGCAGGAAAUCGCCUAAAACGGACCAGUUUUAGGUGACAUCAACAGCGGACGGACGCUACUGCAAGAGAUCAACACCGGAAACAAACAAUACGCGUCGCAUGUCUACAGGCAGUGGGCGGCCGGAAGUGACGUGCGCGCCCAGGUCCCGCAGACCACUUCCGGCGCUUUGACAAACAGCCUCCAAGGUCGGUGAUGGAGGGUUAAAAGGCCCACGACAAUGGACCCUCUGCGUUAAGAUUUUGAG